rnacentral:rRNA from 1 species
AUGUAUUUAUUUAUUGGAAAAUCUUGGUUUUACCCGGACAUAUGUAUGCACUGUACUACCCUGUGUCAAGCGACAACCUCUCUCCGGUGGUUUAUGUGUGUCUACAGUGAUGUGAAGGCUAUCCUGCGUACGGAGCCAAUGGCUGUCACGGCACGGUCAGAAUCAAGCCGUACGCUGCAUCGGGAACUACAACAGAGAGAGAGAGAGAGAGAGAGAGAGAGAGAGAGAGAGGGGAGAUGGGGGAGACUGGUGAGCUCCAUGGGUGGUCAGAAGGGGCGGGUAAAAGCAGAGACCUUGGCUGCCGUGGUUCUCUCCUACGAAUAA